AGCAUGGCUUGACAAGUGGUGCCAUGUCCACACCUGGGAUCCGAACUGCUGAACCCGGAGCUGCUGAAGUGGAACGUGGGAACUUAACUGCUGUGCCACCGGGCCGACCCCAGUUGUAUAGAUUUGUAUAAUAAUGAGAAAAGCUUUCAGUAAUUCACCGUCAAGUAUGCUGUUUGCUCAAGACUCAUUGGAGAUGACCUCUAUCAGAAUUAGACAGGUCCCUUCGAUUCCUAGUUUGCUGGACUGGUGACGGAAAGGACUCAAAUUGAAGAUAUAUCUAGGGAGGUGCCUGUUGAUAACACUUCCAGUUUCAGACAACCCUGUGUGAUACCCUUUGGACCCUGAAUAUUGGGACUUCCUGUGCUGUGCUCAUAAGGCAUUAUGUAAGACACAUGAGGGCACAGAUCUUAGAAUGUGGCCGCGUGGAAGAGAACUGACUCCCGUGGAGGAGCGGAGGCAGCCGGUGCUCUCCGGCCAGUGCUCUCGGGCCGCUCAGCCUUCGGAGAAGGAGGCCAGGGACAUCAUGCUGUGCCCAGGGAUGCACCAGAGUUGGCCAGGAGGCAGCAGGAGCAAGGGAGAAUGUGGGCACAAGCCUCAUCGUGUUCUGUGGGAAGGAGUGGGCGAGGCAGGGGGAGCAGACUUAGCAUCGCUGGUUUGGAUAAUUUCGGUGGUCCGGCUCUAAGGGCCGUCUUAAUGGUCUGCCUGCCCCGGGAUGCUUCAGGGCAGGAGAAUAGUGUCCCAAAGUGCAGGCGCCUGAUAGAAAGACGUGAGAGGGGUGUGGACUCAGGCUUCAUUGGUUUGCACAUCAAGGGCGUGAUCACAGACAAGUUGUUUGCUGCCUCUAGGAAUGAGCUCACUCUGAAAGGGCCAGUCCCUCCUCUGUCCGCAAGCCGCUAAAUGUCAAAGCAUCAUAAAAUACAGAACAUAAAAAACGUGAGUAAUACAAAUACUAUAGAGAUGUCACUCAGAGACUGUAGCUAUAUUAUUACUUGAACAAAAUUGAGAGCAUUUCCUCUCUGUCUGCAUCUGAAUUCCAUGAGAGCAAUGGCAAGUAAUCUUUUCCUGUACUUUUAUCUAGAAGGUUAAUUUCAUUUGUCUUUAGUUUGUAUCCCACAUUGAAUCAGAGCAAAAAAGAAUUUGAAAAGUGGACUUGAAACAGCAGGUGAAAUUCAGAUAGUGGUUUAUCACUGGAGUUGUUAAACAGGCUUUCAGUGUUUCCUACAGUUCAUGCAGCCAGUGGGUGUCACCCUCUGUUCUGAUGGCAGAGGACCAGCAGGUGCCCGAAAGCCCUGGAGUGCUCCUGGAGUGCGGUCUGACGGUGAAGGGAAGGGUGGAGGCGUUGCCCGACAGUUCCAAGGUCAUGGCUUGAAAUCACCAAACACAAGUUGGUGGGUGAAAAUCCUUUGUUUUGCUUCCUUGAUUGGAAUUCAUAGACAGGGAAAUGAAGACACUGAUUAAUUAGAAAACAUCAUUGUAACUUGUAGUAUAAGUAUAUGAUGCAUCCAAGGCCAUCAGGAGGGAACAGAAAUCAGGCCUUUUUGGUUAUUUUCCCACCUCAUAAUCCUCUCUUCCGAAAUGAUGGAUUUUAAAUUGGCAGAUGGAGAGGUACCAUAGCAAAGACUUACUUUAUGUUCCUUAAACCAUUAUCUCCCCCUUUCGGAGCACUGGGUUUUAUUCCUAAAGCUUUAUUUUCAGUUUUCAGAGCUAAAGUUUGAAACCUGAGAAAUCACAGUAAUGGUUUUAUUUUUCUCCAUUCAUGUCUAUUUCCUUAAGAGUUCUGUCUGGGAGGAUAAAAGGGCUCAUUUUUCCUUUUUUUAAAAAAUUAAUUCUCUAUUCAUUAAUAGUGGUGUGGAUUUAUGUGCUUUAUGAAAGCGUUAGCCCAGACAGAGGCAGAGGAUGUUAGAGCCGCAGGAGCUCUGGGGAACGUGGAGUCCAAGUGCUUCAUUUCACAGACCGGCGCAGUCGGGGCCGGAGGCUCGCUGUCGUUUGUUCCAGUUUUGCAGCUCUUUAUGGCAGGGUUGGCGUUUGGUCUUAGGUCACCAGACCCCAAAUUCAGAAUUCUUCCUGCUCUAUCAUAUAGUAGUAAAUCCUUUUUUAUUUGCAAAAUUGUUCAAAGAAUGAGGGCAGCAUAGCAUAAGAGAAAUGUAAAUUUAUUUUGACGUGCAAAAUUAUCAUCUUUCCUGUGUAUGUCUACACAUCUAUAAUCUUGAUCCAUCCAAAAGACAUAUGCACAUAAGGAGCUUGAGUAAUUUAACUCUUAAGGAAGAGGUAAUGUCAUUUUUGUGAGGAAUAUGUUUCUUCUAUCUAGGCAGAAUUUCAAUAGCAAAUAAAGAAGGGUGAACCAAACACCCUAAUCCACCAACUGAGUGACAGGCAGCAUGUUCUGUAUUCCUUUCUAUAUUUGAAUGAUACAGUGAUUAUAAAAAUGCUUCAGGAGCUGUUGUGCUCACGUAAUCAACUCUUUAAAUACUAUUUCUUGUUACUAUUUCAGUUUUUGCAGUAGAACCUGUAUGAGACAGGACUCAUGUUGUUUUGAAUUAUGUAAAUUUCACGUGUCGAGUGGGUAAAGGGGGAUGAAAUUGGGGUAAAGAGCUACCCUAGAAAAUUAGACCCGAUUCAGUUCAUUGUUUCACAUGCAGCACAAGAGAGGCAGAUAGGAUGGGUUCCUGCUCUCCCACCCCCACCCGCUCUAUGGAGCAGCGGCCAUGCGGCCCCGCCUGUGGCCCCCAGACCUUAAGUGGCGUCAGCUGGCUUGUUGGAAACUCAUAAUCUCAGGCCCCACCCCAGACCUACUGACUCAAGAUCUGCAUUUUAACAAGAGGCCCAGGUGAUUUGUAUGCAUGUUACAGGUUGAGAAGCACUGGGUUAUAGUACCUGUUAUCAGGAUGCUACUUUAUUAGUUGCACGAAGAUAUCCAUGGUAACUUUCAGUGUGUCAUUUACCAGGCCCAAAAAUACUAUUCUUGAACCUUGCAUUCAUGCCUUCAUUCAGCAAAUGUUUGUUGAGCUAGACUAGGUGCCAGACUAUGUUCUGGGGAUGAAGGGUGGUUAAGACAUUGUCUCAGCAAGCUCAUCAAGCAGGUGAGACCAAUAGGAUGGAUGAUGGCAGUCCAGUGCCAGAGGCCCAAUAACAGAGAUUAGCACAGGAUAUUUCCAGGCUUCAGAGGGUUACCCAACCUAGUGUGGGUGGAGUGGGGAGAAGGAAGUAGGAUCAAAGAAAGCUUCCUGAGUUAACUCCUAAAGGAUGAGUAGAUGUGUAUUUGUUUUCUAUUGCUGCAUAACACAUUACCACAAACUUAGUGGAUUAAAACCCCCCUUUUCUGUUACCUCAGAUUUUCUGUAGGUCAGGUGUCCAGGCUUAAAGGGAUUCUCUGCUCAGGGUCUCAAAAGGUAAAAUCAGAGUGUUGGCCUGGCUGAGUUCCUUUUGGAGCUCAGUGGUCUCUUCCAAGCUCAUCUGAUUUUCAGCAGAAUUCAGUUUGUUGUGGUUGUAGGACUGAGGUUCCCGUUUUCUCUGGCUGUCAAACAGGGGCCACUCUUGGCUCCAAGAGGCUCUGCACUUGUUUGCCACGUGGCCCUCUUACAGCAUGCUGUCCCAUUUUCAAGGCCAGCAGAGAUUCUGGCUCCAAUCAGUUGAGUUGGUGUCAUAUUGUGAUACAAUCAAGGGGGCGACUGUCCCAUCACUUUUGCCGUAUUUGGUGAUCUAGACGGCAGUGACAGGUUCCACCCCACUCAGGGGAGGGGAUUCUAUCAGGGGUCGUCUGAGAAUCCUGCCCACAGCAAGGAAAUUAGCUGGUGGAGGAGGGAGUGUGGAUGAAAGAAACUACAGAGCGAGUUCAGGGAACUUUGGGUGGGAGGUAAAAAGAGCUUUAGAAUAUAAAACGAUGAACUCCUUUUGGUAGUUUCUGAGUUUUGGGAGCUUGUAGAGGGUCCGGAUGAAGCUGUGCAGUGGGACUUUGGAUCCGCUUGUUUGAAACUUGACGGAGGGAGAUGAAGAUCCAUCAGUCAUCGUGCUGUGAGACUGAAAGUGGACUGAAUGGCGUAGGGUGCGUGGGUAGGCCGUGGCCAGAUGGAAGCCCUGGAAGAGCAGCAGUGAUGGUCGAGCACGGGAAGAGGCCUGGGCAGGGAAGGCAAAGGUGAGCCCAAGGCUGCGACGCAGGGGAAGGGCGAGGGCAGUGUCGUCACAGUCAGGCCGUGAGAAUGCGAUGAGGAGGAGGGAACGGCAGAGGACGCCCUCUAAUCAGCCACUCAGCAGAGAGUCAACGCCUAGCAAAUGAUGGGUAGUCAGCACCCAAACAUUGGAUGUUGUAUUUUAUUUGCAUCCUUAAAACUCAGCAGAGUUCCUGGCGUAUAAUAAUUGCUCAAUAAAUGUUUUUUAAAUAGGUAAUUAAUUCAGUUAGGGUUUUAAGGUUCUUCUUUACUCUCUCCUCAGAAUUCUUCUUUGAUCAGAGAUUUGUUCAUUUGAGAUGAUUUUUCACUUGGUAAACACAAGUAGGCAAGCUAACAGUUUCUAUUGAAUCUGGAUACAGUCUUAACAAUUUGAAACCUGGCAACAUACCUGUGAUAGCUACCACGGAGAGUCUACCACGUGUGUGUAAUAAGGCUUCACCCGAGGAUCUCUAAUCCUUAAAAUGAUCCAGGAAAGAAGUUAUGAUUAUCUCCAAGUCACAGGUUAGGAAACUAAGGUUCAGAGAGGUUAAAUCACUUGCCCAACGUCACACAGCUAUAGGGGGAGCGGGGGUUUGAGCCCUCAGCUGUCUGGUUUUAAAACCUGUACAGAGACAGAACUCUCUUAUUGUAUAUAAAACACUAAAUAGCCUAGGAAUCAUAUUAAAACAUAAGGCUGUAAUAAGUAAAACAGUGUGGUACUGGUACUUGAAUAGAGAGACAAACUAAAGAAACAGAAGAGAAAAGCCAUAAGUAGGAGCAAAUGCACAUGGCAGUUUAGUAUGUGGUUCACACGUCUUAGACUGGUGGGGAGGAUGAGGGCCAUUCAGUAGGUGGUCUUGGGACAGGUGAAUAGCCACCUGGGCAAAGAUAUUGUGUCUUUACUUCAUACCAUGUCCUGGGACAGCUUCAGAUUUAUCAAAGAUUUAAAUGUAAGAAAGAAACCGUAAGUGUAAUAGACAUAAACAAAGGAGAAGGCUUUAUGAUCUGGGAGUGGAGAAGCAUUUUCCAACUAUUACUCAAAUCUAAAAGCCAUAAAAGAAAAGUUUGAUAAUUUCAUUUUUUUAAAAUAAACAAACAACAAAAAUUUCUGCAUAUUAAAAAAGAUCGUAAGAAAAGUAAAAAAGAGAAAUCACAAACUUGGAGAAAAUAGUUCAUCUCAUAUUGUAGACAAAGGACUAAUCUUCCUAAUUUAUCAAGACCAAAAGAUGAAUAAUCAUUCCAACAGAAAAGUGGACCAAGGAUAUAAAGAGACAUUUCACAGAGAAGGAAAUACAAAUGGCUUUUAAAUAUGCAAAAUGAUCUUUAACUUCCUCAUAAUGAAACAGAUGUAAAUUAAAACUAUAGUGAGAGACCAUUUUUCAGUCAUCUUGGCAAGACUCCAAAAAUUUGUUGACAAGGCUAUGCGGAAACAGGCCCUGGCCCGAGGCAUUUGGCACUGUUGACGGGCACCUUGUGUGGGGCCCGCUGUGGUGGUAUUUAUCUGCAGGAAAACAUGUCUGCUUGGGCCCGCACUUCCACUUCUGAAAAGUCAUUCUGUGAUCGCCUUGCACACAUGCAAGAUGAAAUGUGUGCUCCUUUUUCACUGCAGCAUUAUAUGAUUGGAAAAAAGAUUGGAAACAACCUAAACAUCCAAAAAUAUGGAACCAGUUAAAUAAAUUAUGAAAUAUCCAUUCAGGGUAAUACUGUGCAGCUGUGAAAACAAGAACAACAAUGCUCUUUAUAACCUGAUGAAGAUCUCCAAGGUAUUUUGCUAAGUGAAAAGAGAGUCAGAAAACAGAAUUAUCAUGUGCUACCUUUUGUGCAUGAGAACAAACAUAAGAAUAUAUAUUCACAUUUCUUUGUAUUCUUAUAACAACCACUUUGCAUGGGUGAGUUAGACUGAUAACAGGGAUCACCGGAUGGGGGUACUAUGAAUUGGCCGAUGGGGGAGGGUAGGUGGGAAAGUUGUCACUGGAUUAUUUGUUUGUAUGUAUAUUUUUUUCCUUGAACCAUAUGAACUCAAAAGAUAAAAGGAAUUAUAUCUAUAGAAAGAUACCAAGCUAAGGCAUCUCAAGGAAUCUGUCAAGAUCAAUUCUCUAUGGCUCUAUGGGCAGGUGGCAGCCUGGCGCAGCCAUCUUCAAACUUGUUAGUUUGCUUACCCUGUCAGUAAAGAAAGUUGAUCACAUAUCUCCAUAUAUGUGGAUUAUUUGUUUAUUUGAAAAUUAUAUGACUUACUACUAUACAAAUCGUAUUUUGUACCUUAAAGCCGUAGACUAAAAAAGAAACUAAAAAAGUGUACAUAAAAAUGAAAUUAAUAGUAUUUAUUUUAACAGUUAAAAAUGAGUUUGCUCUCAUUAAAAUAUUAAUAUGAAUGAUUCUUUUUUGGAAACUCGAUUCAGAGCUUUGUGUUGCCAUUAUCUGAAGUCUAUUUAUUUUAUUUUAGUGAGGUCAUAAUAGUUUAUAACAUUGUGAAAUUACAGUUGUACAUUAUUA